rnacentral:rRNA from 1 species
UUGUCUCAAAGAUUAAGCCAUGCAUGUCUCAGUACAAGCCACAUUAAGGUGAAACCGCGAAAGGCUCAUUAAAUCAGUUAUGGUUCCUUAGAUCGUACCCACAUUUACUUGGAUAACUGUGGUAAUUCUAGAGCUAAUACAUGCAAACAGAGCUCCGACCGUUUACGGGAGGAGCGCUUUUAUUAGAUCAAAACCAAUCGGUGGUGGUUUCGGCUGCCAUCGUACACCUUGGUGACUCUGAAUAACUUUAAGCUGAUCGCACGGUCUUGCACCGGCGACGCAUCUUUCAAAUGUCUGCCUUAUCAACUGUCGAUGGUAGGUUCUGCGCCUACCAUGGUCGUAACGGGUAACGGGGAAUCAGGGUUCGAUUCCGGAGAGGGAGCCUGAGAAACGGCUACCACAUCCAAGGAAGGCAGCAGGCGCGCAAAUUACCCACUCCCGGCACGGGGAGGUAGUGACGAAAAAUAACGAUACGGGACUCAUCCGAGGCCUCGUAAUCGGAAUGAGUACACUCUAAACCCUUUAACGAGGAUCAAUUGGAGGGCAAGUCUGGUGCCAGCAGCCGCGGUAAUUCCAGCUCCAAUAGCGUAUAUUAAAGUUGUUGCGGUUAAAAAGCUCGUAGUCGAAUUUGUGUCCCGCGCCGCCGGUUCAUCGUCCGCGGUGUUAACUGGCGUGUCGCGAGACGUCCUGCCGGUGGGCUUAGCCCGCGAGGGCGGCCCAACUCAAUCCCGCCGCGGUGCUCUUCACUGAGUGUCGAGGUGGGCCGGCACGUUUACUUUGAACAAAUUAGAGUGCUUAAAGCAGGCUAGAAUUUCGCCUGAAUACUGUGUGCAUGGAAUAAUGGAAUAGGACCUCGGUUCUAUUUUGUUGGUUUUCGGAACCCCGAGGUAAUGAUUAAUAGGAACGGAUGGGGGCAUUCGUAUUGCGACGUUAGAGGUGAAAUUCUUGGAUACCGUCGCAAGACGAACAGAAGCGAAAGCAUUUGCCAAAAACGCUUUCAUUGAUCAAGAACGAAAGUUAGAGGUUCGAAGGCGAUCAGAUACCGCCCUAGUUCUAACCAUAAACGAUGCCAGCUAGCGAUCCGCCGACGUUCCUCCGAUGACUCGGCGGGCAGCUUCCGGGAAACCAAAGCUUUUGGGUUCCGGGGGAAGUAUGGUUGCAAAGCUGAAACUUAAAGGAAUUGACGGAAGGGCACCACCAGGAGUGGAGCCUGCGGCUUAAUUUGACUCAACACGGGAAACCUCACCAGGCCCGGACACCGGAAGGAUUGACAGAUUGAGAGCUUCUUUCUUGAUUCGGUGGGUGGUGGUGCAUGGCCGUUCUUAGUUGGUGGA